AUGAAACCAAGGGGGCGCAUUGGUUCUGCCCAGUUGGACAAGAUCUCGGACCUCAUUGACGACUAUACUGGAAGUUGGAAUGUGGAUCUUAUUCGACAAAAUUUUCUGCAGCCGGACGUGGAGGCAAUUCUUAACAUUCCCUUAAACCCAGCUGGCGGAGAAGACAUUUUAGCAUGGUCUUUGGAAAAGUCUGGCAACUAUACUGUAAAGUCUGCGUAUCGUUCUCUCGUGACUCGCAAUGAGCUCGGCUCUCUAGAGGAAGGGGUGAAUACAAAAACUUCAUCGUCAAACAAACAAUUGUGGUCAUCUCUUUGGAAACUCCAUGUAAUUCCAAAGGUUCGAGUGUUCGGUGGAGAGUACUUCGCGGUAUUUUACCAGAUUCAGUAA
rnacentral:rRNA from 1 species